AACAGAGGUGCCGAGCGUUAGGCGGAAUCACUGGGCUUAAAGCGUGUGUAGGCGGGCGGGCAAGUACCUUGUGAAAUCCCACGGCUCAACCGUGGAACGGCUGGGUAUACUGCCUGUCUUGAGCCAACUAGGGGCGAGCGGAACAGACGGUGGAGCGGUGAAAUGCGUAGAUAUCGUCUGGAACGCCGAAGGUGAAAACAGCUCGCUGGGGUUGUGCUGACGCUGAGACACGAAAGCCAGGGGAGCGAACGGG
rnacentral:rRNA from 1 species